GAUGAACGCUGGCGGCGUGCCUAAUACAUGCAAGUCGAGCGAACGGACGAGAAGCUUGCUUCUCUGAUGUUAGCGGCGGACGGGUGAGUAACACGUGGAUAACCUACCUAUAAGACUGGGAUAACUUCGGGAAACCGGAGCUAAUACCGGAUAAUAUUUUGAACCGCAUGGUUCAAAAGUGAAAGACGGUCUUGCUGUCACUUAUAGAUGGAUCCGCGCUGCAUUAGCUAGUUGGUAAGGUAACGGCUUACCAAGGCAACGAUGCAUAGCCGACCUGAGAGGGUGAUCGGCCACACUGGAACUGAGACACGGUCCAGACUCCUACGGGAGGCAGCAGUAGGGAAUCUUCCGCAAUGGGCGAAAGCCUGACGGAGCAACGCCGCGUGAGUGAUGAAGGUCUUCGGAUCGUAAAACUCUGUUAUUAGGGAAGAACAUAUGUGUAAGUAACUGUGUACAUCUUGACGGUACCUAAUCAGAAAGCCACGGCUAACUACGUGC
rnacentral:rRNA from 1 species